rnacentral:rRNA from 1 species
UGGGGAAUUUUGGACAAUGGGGGAAACCCUGAUCCAGCCAUCCCGCGUGUGCGAUGAAGGCCUUCGGGUUGUAAAGCACUUUUGGCAGGAAAGAAACGUCAUGGGUUAAUACCCCGUGAAACUGACGGUACCUGCAGAAUAAGCACCGGCUAACUACGUGCCAGCAGCCGCGGUAAUACGUAGGGUGCAAGCGUUAAUCGGAAUUACUGGGCGUAAAGCGUGCGCAGGCGGUUCGGAAAGAAAGAUGUGAAAUCCCAGAGCUCAACUUUGGAACUGCAUUUUUAACUACCGGGAUAGAGGGUGUCAGAGGGAGGUGGAAUUCCGCGUGUAGCAGUGAAAUGCGUAGAUAUGCGGAGGAACACCGAUGGCGAAGGCAGCCUCCUGGGAUAACACUGACGCUCAUGAACGAAAGCGAGGGGAGCAAACAGG